rnacentral:tRNA from 1 species
GCCCCCGUAGCUCAACGGAUAGAGCAGUGGGUUUCUACCCCAUGCGUGAGGGUUCGAUUCCUUCCGGGGGUG